GCCUAACGGCUGAACCAGCGAUUUGAAGGAAUGAAGAUCUACUUUGAAAUAUAAGAAGACUAAAAUUCUGGUUAGUAAAAUGAUAAUGACAAUUUUCUAUCUAAAUGUCUUGACUAAUUCACGUGCCAGCAGUCGCGGUAAUACGUGAGAGACUAGCGUUAUUCAUAUUUAAUUGGUUUAAAGGGUUACUAGACGG
rnacentral:rRNA from 1 species